rnacentral:rRNA from 1 species
GGGUCCGGACACACUGAGGAUUGACAGGCAAAAGAUACAAGUUUUCUUUGUGAGAGCUUGCAUUGUAAAAUAUGCGAGUCCUUUCAUGAUUAUGUGAUAGGUGGUGCAUGGCCGUUCUUAGUUCGUGGAGUGAUCUGUCUGCUUAAUUGCGUUUCACAACGAUUUAAAAUGCUAUGUUUUCUGUGUUUGCUGUUCGGUUUUAGCUCUUACGGGAGUUUUUAACUUUGAACGCACACGGCGUAGCUUAAAACAAUCGGAAAGCAACGAACGUGACCGCAACCUCUUGUUGCCUUUAUUUUUAAAAGCGUGGAAAAUUUUAUAUUUUCCUACGCUUGAAAAAGGCUUUAAAACUAGAGGGACCGCUGUUCUAUUCUCUUAAACCAGAGGAAGAUUGCGGCAAUAACAGGUCUGUGAUGCCCUCAGAUGUUCCGGGCUGCACACGUGCUACAAUGAUUGUUGCAGUGAGCAUCUAUUUUCAAACGCUACCGUUGCGGAUUUUGUGAGAAGGGGGAUUUGUUUUAAAGCUUUCGGGUGGAGAAGCAGGUUCUUUUUUUUUCACAAUUUAUUCCGCGUUACGUGUCAGCUAAACCUGCUUCGAAAGCAAGUAGGU